CUUUUCUGACUUUGUUCCACAGUGUGUGUAAAGCACUUAAUCUGUUCCAAGUUCUUUGUAAGACUUUAGUCUGAGGACUGAAGCCCACAGCUCAUUGCCCUUUAAAGGAAGAGCUAUAAAUAGUACACUGGGUCAUUAAAAAGAGGAAGGAAUGCACCUGGACAGCCAAGUACAUGUAAAUUUGGCCAGAGGAGACUUCAGGGCCCAGAGCAUGCCCGUCAGCAAAGUCUCCCCUGGCUUCUGCAGAAGAACUCUGGUCAUCCAGGUGAGGGACCACAGGCCAGCCAGCUGUUCCUUCCAGACGUCUCCAGAAACCUCUAUGAGUCCCUUGGAAGGUAACAAACUCAGACCAAGGAUUUGGUCCUUGCUUGUUGGGUGGCCAGGAAAUAACAGCUUUGCACAGGCUGCUCAAGAGGCUGCUUCUGAAGAAACCCAACAGUAGACUCUGGUGUGAAGAACAAAGACACACAGCUUGAGCCUGGGGAUGGACACCUCCCAGCAGCCCUGGCUGCCACUCACUGCUGUGCUGCAGCCUGAGAUGAGAAUACUGAUGUUCAGAGCAACCGACUGAACCCCUGGAAGUCACUCAUACUGAAAAUGGCAAAGCAGUAUCUGCCCCUGCUCUGUCCAAUGCUAACAGGACUGCUGAGGCCUCCCCUCCACCUCGCCUCAAGUUGACAUUGGGCCUGUGGAAAUAGACCUCUAAGCCAGCCUUUCUUGCUAGUUUGGUUUUAGCCUUUCUUGGACUCAGCUUUGCCAUCUGUGAAAUAUGUGAGUCAUCUAGAUAGUGUCUGAAACCUACCAGCUCCAAGUCUAUGGUCCACGGAUGGGCUGUGAGGACAAUCAAGACUGAGGCAGGUUUUCACUCAAGUCCUGGAAUAUCUGGUCAUCCUUCCAGGGUUCUUCAUGGCAGGGAAACAAAAUCAACAACUGAAGAACAUGAGGUUCAGGAGAUUUAAGUCUGAGUUCCAGUGUUGGCUUUGGGUGCCUCUAAUCAACCACAAAUCUAUCCCAAGCCCGAGGCAGGCUGGUCUUACUCAACAUUUAUGGGGUCUUGCAGGGCUUAUGAGUGAGCUCAUGUGGGUGAGCUGUGGGUACCACAGGACCAGCACAGAUUGCUCCAGCACAUUGUCCAGCCACGAGACAGAAUUUCCCUCUUACAGAUCCAUUGAAUAGCCCUGGCCUGUGGGUUUGCUGUAAAGAUGCAAAAGCCCUGAAGCAUUAUCUGCCAAACCUCAGCCCUGACCAUGGUUAGGCUGACAUCAGGGGAGGCAGCAGGAGAGGGAGAGAAAAGGGUAUCUCAUUGUGGAACUGGGGCAGUGGUGGGCAGGGGCUGAUGCAGGAGGGGUGCCAUGGCCCAACUGCUCUUCACCCACGGUCCUUACACAGACCUGAUCCUGCUAAUUCUGACUCAGCUUUCAGACUCAGCCUGCGGACACUCAAUUUUUAGUAAUAAGCAGUCUCCUCAUAAUUUACUAUAUAGCAAAAUAAAUUUUUAAAAGAUAUUAAUAGUUGGCACCAGAGUCUCUUCACUUCAUUUAUUCAUUUUUACAACAAACAUCUAUUGAGCCCCUGGGAUGUGCUUGUGCUCUUUUGGGCUGUGCAGAUUUAACGGUAAAGAUAACAAUGUUCCAGUCCUACUCAAGUUUGCAUUCUGAUGCAGAGAAAGACAAUUAUAAAUCAUAAAAUAUGUAUAAUAUCAGUUAAGGAUUGGUGCUUGGAAUAAAAUAAAGAAGUAGAGAGGGGGAAAUUGGUCAUUUUUGAUAUGAUGGUCCAAGAAGCCUACUGAGGUAACAUGUAGCAGAGAUGAUUUUUAAGGAAAUGACUUUGAUCAGCAACAUGAGAUUGGUAUUGGAAUAUCGAGGACAUAAGUAAGACACAAUAAAUCAGAAGGUGUUAAAAAUAAAGAUGGAUUCAUGACUGAGGGGUGGGGAGAAAAGAAAAAAAAGACAAAGAAUCAUGAC
rnacentral:lncRNA from 1 species